GACGAACGCUGGCGGCGUGCUUAACACAUGCAAGUCGAACGGAAAGGCCCUGCUUUUGUGGGGUGCUCGAGUGGCGAACGGGUGUGUAACACGUGAGUAACCUGCCCUUGACUUUGGGAUACCUUCAGGAAAAUGGGGCGAAUACCGGAUAGGAGCUCCUGCUGCAUGGUGGGGGAUGGAAAGUUUCGGCGGUUGGGGAUGGACUCGCGGCUUAUCAGCUUGUUGGUGGGGUAGUGGCUUACCAAGGCUUUGACGGGUAGCCGGCCUGAGAGGGUGACCGGCCACAUUGGGACUGAGAUACGGCCCAGACUCCUACGGGAGGCAGCAGUGGAGAAUAUUGCACAAUGGGCGGAGGCCUGAUGCAGCAACGCCGGGUGCGGGAUGACGGCCUUCGGGUUGGAAACCGCUUGCGCCUGUGACGAAGCGUGAGUGACGGUAAUGGGUAAAGAAGCACCGGCUAACUACGUG
rnacentral:rRNA from 1 species